GAUAAACGCUAGCGGCAGGCUUAACACAUGCAAGUCGAGGGGCAGCAUAGAUUGUAGCAAUACAAUUGGUGGCGACCGGCGCACGGGUGCGUAACGCGUAUGCAACCUACCCGUCACAGGGGGAUAAUCCGGAGAAAUCUGGUCUAAUACCCCAUAACAUAUGGAUCGGCAUCGGUUCAUGUUGAAAUUUUCGAGGUGACGGAUGGGCAUGCGUAGCAUUAGCUUGUUGGUGAGGUAACGGCUCACCAAGGCGACGAUGCUUAGGGGGACUGAGAGGUUUUCCCCCCACACUGGUACUGAGACACGGACCAGACUCCUACGGGAGGCAGCAGUGAGGAAUAUUGGUCAAUGGGCGCAGGCCUGAACCAGCCAUGCCGCGUGCAGGAUGACGGCUCUAUGAGUUGUAAACUGCUUUUGUACGAGGGUAAAGUGGGUUACGUGUAACCUUUUGAAAGUAUCGUACGAAUAAGGAUCGGCUAACUCUGUGCCAGCAGCCGCGGUAA
rnacentral:rRNA from 1 species